UGUUUUUAGGGUUCCAGUCUGUCUGGGGAAAUAAAUUCAAGCUGUUACAACUUAAUACAUCAAUUGCCAUGGUGGAAGUAUGAAAAAACAAUGCCUGGAUAUAUAGAAGCAGGAAGAAUAUUCUCUCUUUUAUGAGAUAAGAGAGUUGAAGGAGGGAAGAAAAGAAUGAAUGGUGUAAGACAGUGUUUUGUUGAAUUUCCAAGCCAGGAUUCAUGUUAUUUGUGAGGCCCAAGUUAAAAUAAGCACAAAUUGAAAAUAUAAAGUACUGUAGAAACAUGAGCCAAGGCAAUGAUGCUGGAACUCACCGUAGAUGGCUAUGCCUGCUGCCGAAGAGAGAACCCUGAGUCACAAGUACACAAAUGAAAUGCGAUUGUCUUCGUGGGUUGCAUCGUAUGAUUUGGAGCAAGUCUUCAGGUCUAAUAUAA
rnacentral:lncRNA from 1 species